rnacentral:misc_RNA from 1 species
AAUGCAGGGCUCAUCCACUGGAACCUGUAAUAAUUCAACCAAACCAAAAAUAAAAGAAAAUAAUUAUCAGAAGAUGGGAAUCCCUGUUUAAUUUUUUAGAUUUUUUAAAAAUAUUCUCUCUUUGUCAGUGAUCUGAUGGGUCUAUCUAUCUAUCUAUAUUCUGUUUUGAUCUGGUUUCUACAGAUAUCAGUCGUAUUUUCACAUCAAUGUUCACUCUAUAAAUAAAAAAUUCUAUCUCCAACGUCAUGCAUACAAUAAUACAAGUACAAAACAGUUGCAUGCAUGUAAAUUUAGAUGAUGUCAUUCUCUUUUUCUUCCUUUUCUUUUCUAUCCUGUCGUUUUCCUUUUCAAAUUUCAAUGUCUUUAUCCAGUUUGCUGGUGCUAAUAUCCUUUUCACUAUAAUGGGUCAAGCUUAAUUCAUUCCAAAAGCAAACUCAACGAAAGGAUUAGACACUCAGAGAAUAGAACAUUUUUGAAAGACUCAACAUCGAGAGGCCCCAAUAUCAUUUUAAGAAGAAUGUCUAAUUCACCUCUA